rnacentral:rRNA from 1 species
AUUGAACGCUGGCGGCAGGCUUAACACAUGCAAGUCGAGCGGGGUGAUGGUGCUUGCACUAUUACUUAGCGGCGGACGGGUGAGUAAUGCUUAGGAAUCUGCCUAUUAGUGGGGGACAACAUCUCGAAAGGGAUGCUAAUACCGCAUACGUCCUACGGGAGAAAGAAGGGGAUCACUUGUGACCUUGCGCUAAUAGAUGAGCCUAAGUCGGAUUAGCUAGUUGGUGGGGUAAAGGCCUACAAAGGCGACGAUCUGUAGCGGGUCUGAGAGGAUGAUCCGCCACACUGGGACUGAGAGACGGCCCAGACGCCUACGGGAGGCAGCAGUGGGGAAUAUUGGAAAAUGGGGGGAACCCUGAUCCAGCCAUGCCGCGUGUGUGAAGAAGGCCUUAUGGUUGUAAAGCACUUUAAGCGAGGAGGAGGCUACUGAGACUAAUACUCUUGGAUAGUGGACGUUACUCGCAGAAUAAGCACCGGCUAACUCUGUGCCAGCCGCCGCGGUAA